CUCUAUAGGAAACUGGCCAGGGGAACUGCGGGGAAACCGCAUCCGACGUGGAAAAUGUAAACGAUGUCGUUUACUCUUUCUUCCGUUUCCCCCUUUUUAUUUCAUUUCAUACUCGAAAUCCCCCCUUCCCCCAUUUCCGGACCUCUCUUCCAUCUUCGCUCCUUCGUCUUCCACCUUCCUCACUCGAAAUCUACCACACGAAACCUGCUACCAAGGACCUUUGAAGCCGAAAGCUCCAUUCUCACGGAACCCCACCUUCCCACUCAAAAUCGACAUUGAAACCGAAAGCUCUGCCUCCCCCUUCGAAGCCGAAAGACACCAAAGCUCUACCUCUCCCUUCGACGCAAUCUCCUUACCCGAAACCCUAACCAAAGCUUUGCGUUUCAACCUCCCCUUUCCUUCUUUUUCUUUUAAAUUUUCCUUGGUACAGGAUAUCUCCGAUGUUCAAUGGAGGAACUUUCGUGGAAAUUGACCUGUUCUUACCGUUGUUUUUGGGAUAUUUACUUUGGUGGCCAAUAACCUGAGGGCUUAAUUUGGCUUAAGAGAGAGGGGGAUGUCCGUUGUUUGGCAAAGGUAUUACAUCUCAUUUAGCAUUAUUUUGAAGAAAUAAUUUUGUGGCAGCAACAUGGAUGGAAUUAGUGAGCACUUGGUGGGAUAGAGUUGUGAGCUAAUUAUAGCUCCAGCAAGUGCAAAUCGGUUGAGGAGGCUUGUUGCAGCUUCACCUUCUGCAGGUUUUUAUCUUGUUCUCUGUAAUAGUUUCAUUACUUUUUGAGAUCCUUGCUCUAGCACUGCUUAAAGGUAUGCAUUGCUCUGAAUGUUGCACUGCUUACCUUUUCCUCUACUUCUCAGUCAGGGUUGUUUACACUGCUUACUUGCUCAUUUCUACGGCCUUCAUCCAGAUGUCAUCAUCAUCAAAAUCAUCAAGGACUUCUUCAUCAUUGAGGUUGAAGAAAUUCUGCUUCUGUGAGGUUGAAGCCACAUUGAGGUACUCAAAUACUGCAAGAAGGUGGAU